rnacentral:rRNA from 1 species
GUGGGGAAUAUUGCACAAUGGAGGGAACUCUGAUGCAGCGACGCCGCGUGAGUGAUGAAGGAAUUCGUUUCGUAAAACUCUGUUCUAUGGGAAGAAAAGGACUGUACCAUAGGAGAAAGCUCCGGCUAAAUACGUGCCAGCAGCCGCGGUAAUACGUAUGGAGCGAGCGUUGUCCGGAAUUAUUGGGCGUAAAGGGUGCGCAGGCGGCUUUACAAGUUGGAUGUGAAAUAUUGUGGCUCAACCACAAACGUGCAUCCAAAACUGCAAAGCUUGAGUUAAGGAGAGGUAAGUGGAAUUCCUGGUGUAGCGGUGGAAUGCGUAGAUAUCAGGAGGAAUACCGGUGGCGAAGGCGACUUACUGGACUUAAACUGACGCUCAUGCACGAAAGCGUGGGGAGCAAACAGGA